rnacentral:rRNA from 1 species
UGCGUAGGCGGAUUAAUAAGUCAGUGGUGAAAACCUGCAGCUUAACUGUAGAAUUGCCAUUGAUACUGUUAGUCUUGAGUACGGUCAAGGUAGGCGGAAUGUGUAAUGUAGCGGUGAAAUGCUUAGAUAUUACACAGAACACCGAUUGCGAAGGCAGCUUACUGGGCCAUUACUGACGCUGAGGCACGAAAGCGUGGGUAGCGAACAGGAUUAGAUACCCUGGUAGUCC